rnacentral:rRNA from 1 species
UACCAGCACCCCGAGUGGUCGGGACGUUUAUUGGGCCUAAAGCAUCCGUAGCCGGUUCUACAAGUCUUCCGUUAAAUCCGCCUGCUCAACAGAUGGGCUGCGGAAGAUACUAUGGAGCUAGGAGGCGGGAGAGGAAAGCGGUACUCGAUGGGUAGGGGUAAAAUCCGUUGAUCCAUUGAAGACCACCAGUGGCGAAGGCGGCUUGCCAGAACGCGCUCGACGGUGAGGGAUGAAAGCUGGGGGAGCAAACCGG